GUGUUCGGACCUGCUUUUGACUUUAGAUUGGGAAGGCAGGGCCCCCACGUGUUCCGUGGUGUCAGAGUUGCUGUGCUCGCUCGCUCCCACCCGCUGGCCGAACCCCAAACCCGCAGAAUGACGCUGAUCCGCGGCGCCAGUUCCCGCCCUGGGGCGCUGACGAAGCUGCCGGCAACCGGACUUCAGGAAUCAUUCCCAGCAUAGAAAUUGGGUGUUGGACGGAAGAGGCCAAACUCAGGCACCAGGGUCGGGGUGAGGGGCUACAGUAGGAGGCGCUGCACCCCUUAGAAAAGUCUUGGAUCCCAGGCUGGAAGGGCAGCAUGAGGUUUAGGGGGUGUGUAAACAUCCAUGAAACUUAUUCUGGCCGCCGCCCCUGACCUCAGACGUGGGGUUUAUUCUCCUAGAGCACGUGGAUCUCUUUCCCCAGGGUUUUAUGAGAAGAUGAGAGCUCUCUGGCCCCCGGCGGUUGGGUGAAGGCAUUGCAAUCUUUGCUACUCCUCUGCGGCGAGCCUAGAGCAUAUUCGGAGUGACGUCAGUUUCGGGGAUCCAGUUGGUCCGUGGCACGUGGGACUCUUCCUGGACCAAGGAUCGAGGCCGUGUCCCCUGCACUGGCAGAUGGAUUCUUAACCACUGGAGCACCAGGGAAGUCCCUGAAAUGUUCAUUCAAAUGUAAAUGGCCGUGUGUGCCUGGCAGCUGCUGCGUGGAACAGUGCAGGUCUGGAAGUUACUGGAAGAGCAGUGCCACCCUUACUGGAAUUGUGACACCUGAGCCCUUUCACUUCCUGGACAGAGGCCGAGACGAGUUCCACUUGGAGAGAACCCUCCUGUUGGUCUUUGCUGGGGAUCUCACUCAGUAACUACUAGUGGAACUGCUUUGCACUUUUAUUUCCUUGGUGUGGUUCAGCCUACUCCGUGAAGCAUCGUUCCUCCUUCUGUCUUUGCCUGUUUCAUUGUCAGCACACUGAUGGAGAAGCGAUCCUUCAUCACGUUGAAGUACCUACAGCAGUCAAAGUGUUACGUCUCUGCUUUGGAGGGAACGUCAAGAAAAGCGUGGUCCCUGGCCAUCCGGGGUUUGGGGUGCAGAGAGGCAGACAGCAGGAAGUGCCGGACCCCAGCAAGACGAGUUUCCAGUGGGACCCGGCAGGAUGUAACCCUGUGAGGAAGUGAAGGUCAUUUCCAGCUGAUGAAACAUGACAGAAGGCGGGAAGCAUGAAAGUGAGUUCACUGGAGGAGGUGUGUGCUUGCCGAGUGAACACCUGCUGAGUUUGUUUCUGCCUGGUUCUCUGUGCCUGAAAUAUAGUGGUUGUGUUUUAGCAUUUUCUGAGUUUGUCUGAUUUCAUUCUUAUCUACAUAAUUUUUGAAUGCUGACCUGCUUAA